GGUUAAAGUGCUAAACACCUCAACAGUCUCAGAAGUAUCUGUGUUCGGUUUCGUUCCGCGCACGCCCUCCCACUUUCUGCACUUCUCUAUUCAGCUUUUACGCACGAAUCCAGAGCCGCUUUAGGUCAGCAGAGGCUCCUGUGAGCCAUCAGAGAAUGAGUGAUGGUUUGCCGUCUCUGCACGAAGAUGCUCCUGCUGUCUGCUCUGUUGUUCAUUCUCUGGGGAGGAACAGGUCUGUGUCUGGAGGAGGACGGAGGGUUCCACUUCAAGGGAGACAUCCGCCACUACGCCGUAACCAAUAGCACGGUUUAUAUCGCCACUGAAGAGAUGCUGUACCAGCUGAGUCACGACCUGACUCUGGUCCAGAGUCUGACCCAGAGGGGGAUCUUGGAAGACGCUCUUCGGCCGACUGACGCGCAGUUCAAGCGAGUUUCUGGCACGGAUAAGUUUAACGCAACUUUCAGUGUUAACGUGUUGUUGCCGCUUGUCGCUGAUAACAAUCUGAUAACAUGUGGUGUGACUGAUAACGGGUGUGGUUACUGUGAGCUGCUGGACUUGAAGAACAUUUCCAACGUGCUGUACCGGGAACUCAUCCAGGUGGGGUCUCUGAGGCACAGCAGCGCGUCCGUGAGCUUCCUGGUGAGUGUGGAGACUCAAACCCGGACAGAGACUUACAUUGUGGCUGCUGUUCAGCAAUACAAAGACGAACCGACAAAGGACAUCUGUCCCUCUGCGUCAGAGGCGGUGAGCCUCCAUAACACCAAUAACGAUCAGAUAGGACAAAUAUUUUCUAUUCAAAGCGAGGACAGAAAACCUUUUAUCAAAGUUAAGGACGAUGUGGAGUUUGUGGAUGGAUUUCAGUUUAACUCCAUCAUUUAUCUUUUCUCCAAUCUGCCCUCAAAAUAUGAAAGUAACAAAGUCCGUCUGCUUUGGCUUGAUGGCAAAGGAGGUAAAGGUAAGACUGUUCAGUCGUUGCGGGGCGCGACCCUCAGUGUCUCUGAUGGAGGUGAAGACCGCAGACUGAUCGCCUCCUCGGUCAUCCCUGGCGGUCCCCCGGUGCUCUGGAGCGGUGUGUUCAGUGUGGGCGAAGGACAUACAAACACCGAGCUGGUGGUGUUUGACAUUAAUCCUGAUCUUAGUGGAAGGACCGAUGUGGACCCGGACUUCUGCUUUAACUGUGUUGCCAGGAACAAACCAACGGUGAGUGGUCGUCAAAUUAUGUUGCUUUAAUGAGCACUUGUGUCCACAUCCAUCUUUACCUCAAACAUAUAAUUAAUUGAAGAGUUAAUCCAUUUUAAAACAGCUCUCUAAAAGAAAACAAGAUUGUAUCACUUGGAUAAAGAGUUUUUUUCUGCCAGGGAGGUUUCAGCUCAAUUCUAAAAUUGUUUAAAAUGAGUAGAAAAUCAAAAGUAUUAAAACUAUCUCAAAGUGCAGUCUUGUCUCUCCUGACAGCCUUUUUAAUAAAGGAACUAAGUUUUACUAACUGAAGCUGAACUUAUUAAAGUAUUGGUUUAGUUCAUGAAGGUUUAUAAAAGAUAAUGGGUCAGUUUUGAAGCGUGAUAGAGAUUUGUACCCUUUAAUAAUAAAGAAAUAUUUGGCGUCUAAUUACGAAUUUAUUGUGUUUCUCAGCCAAAGACACUGAAGCCAAAGGCAGUGGUCUUCAGGCAGAACUACAUGACCUCUGUGCUGGCAGUGAGACAAAAGGCCUGGAUAGUUUUCUUCAUCGGGACAGGAGAUGGACAGCUUAUUAAGGUGAGUGUACAAAGGGACAUGCAGCAUGGGGACAGCUGCUGUGAAAGUAGGCUUAGUAGGCUACUUUGAAGUUAUAACCACUUAAACAGCAGCGAAUUGAAAUGGUCAACAAAAGCUAGUUAGAAAGCGGCUCAAAUGCAGCUGGUGAUUGUGGUGCAGAUUUAUUCUAGAAAUUUCACACUUCUUUCAAACUUCCAACAAACUCCCUCUGCUUCAUUAGUUGAUCAAAACCUACACUUGCAUUUCAGAGACUCAAGAUUGUUUUGUAUACAUGUCUGGUUGUGGGUCCCCGCAUGCAUGCAUCCCCCUUCUAAAACGGUCAACCCAACUUUCCAUCCCUUAAGGCCAUUUUUGUCAAUGAAUGUGUCAAUAUUACUGCUAUUAUAACAUUAGAAAUAGUACAGCAAUUUUAACGUUUAGGGCAGUGCAUGGAGCCACACAUACACACCUACAUACAUGCCAAACAUUUCCCUCCCCGCCAGCAUCGAUAAUUACCCACCAAACAGCUCUACUUUUCCUUCUCCCUUCUGUGUUGGAUAGGGUAACCAAGGGUGCGCACUUGGAGCUCUAUCAGCUUACUUAAACCUACAUUUACAUUGAUAUUCAUCCUUCUGGGCGUCCAUUCACGCCAUCAUGCCGGCUCAUGUUUCCAAAUGAGGAAGCAGAGCGCAUGAUGUCUGUGUGUAAAAUAGGUGGGUAUAUCAAAGUGGUCACAUGAUGCAAGAAUAAUUAAUUCCCUUGUUGCUUGAUAUGAAUCCUUCAAAAUUAAUGCUCCAUUGAUUUGAGUAAAAACUUUCUGAAAAAGGUUUGAAGGUUAAAAAUGUUUUAAAUGUGAAAAAAUAAGUUUUUUCCAAACUUAUGAAAUUGAUAAUGCCCACUGGGAGGGGCUAGGGAGGUUUAAAAAAAGGCUUCCUGGGCCUUUCUUUUUUGAGACUGGGGAUUUUUGCAUUAACAGUAACUGCCAAACCGACUUUUGUAUUGCUGCUGUGUUUUUGUUUUUUUCCCUUUGAGUGAGAAUCUUGAGCAAUAGUGAAACUCUUUUGCGUAUAUUUAGUUAAAUACUCUGGGUUAGGUGGCAUGUGUGAAAAUGAGAUGUUUUCCUUUUUCAAAAAAAGAAAUGACAUCAGUGAGCAGUGCUGGGGAUGCUGUUGCGAUUUCAGUAUCAUGGCCAAGUGACAUGGACAGCUCAAUCUGAGGGAUUAUCUAACAUGAUAAUUAUCUUUGUGCCUUAGUAACAAUAAAAUGGCUACACAGUUGGUUUCCCACCACAUGCACCGUCAUCAGAACAAAAUAUCUGUCCCAAACAAUAAAAUCCACCAUCCCCCCUGAUUUUUUUACAACUCGACUACUGCUGUUGAGACACAUGUCAUGUUGUAUUCAGAAAAUAUUCAUAACUUCUGGCCUGUUGGCCAUUGACAAUUAAUUCUUAAGAGGAAACCCUGUUUGAAAAACCUGGCUAUUGAGUUACAUUUCCUUUUUCUCCCUUUUAUUUGAUUAGAGAUUGCUUCCUACUAUUAAGAUCUGAAUUGAGUCAAUCAGUCCUAUAUGUGCAGAAGAGUUUUUGAACGUGACUCAGAGGAAACUGUGUUCGCAUCAGAGUGUUGCUUUGGCCACAGACCAGCACAGAAAUGAAACUUAACCACUUAAGAAAUCCCACAGCCAUUUUCAGAGGCUGCAGUAAUUUUCAGAGUAAAUUCAGCAGCAGACAAAUUCAGUCUCUGAGAAAUAUCACUGAAGUGCCUUCUUGUUUUCAGCUUGCUGUGGACAAGAACUACCAGACCAUCUGUCCAAAGGUGCUCUACAAAACCAGUGAUGACCGUCAAGUGUUUUCAAAACUACAUCUGGAUCAGGUGGAUCUGAAACAUGUUUAUGUGCCAUUUCAAAACCAGGUAGGUGCAAGUUUAGGUACAGUACUACAUUUUAGACCUUACAGUGGAUGUAUGCUGUGCUUUUAUGUCCUGCUAAGUUGCUGAUUUUGUUUAUUUAGAUCAAUCAUGUUCCUGUGUCAAAGUGCAGCACAUACAAAACUGUGCAGGAUUGUUGGUCUGCACAGGAUCCAUACUGUGUCUGGUGUGGCCCUGAAAGAAGGUUAGAAACAUCAUCUGCAGUGAACAUCAGUGAAGGAAUUUAAAACUUGGAUAAGACUUACCCUUUUUUCUUCUCCUAGCUGUACAUUUGAAGAAAACUGCCAGGGCUCAGACUGGUUGUCCAUUCCUGAUGAUUCUCAGCACAAAAUGGUUUCCUAUCAAGUUACGCAGGACCUGACUGGACAGGUAGAGAUUAGGGUUAAGUUCUGAGUUAUGAUGAGUUGUGGCUCUCUGAUAGUCGAUUGUUUAUUUACUCCUAUCUGGAUAUGUUUCAGAUCACACUUAACAUCCAGGUGCAUGUGACAGCGGGCGAAGAGGUGCUCUCUAACUUUGCCUGCCACUUCUCUACAAGUUCCACUGAGCGCUUUAAAAUGGAAAACCCGCGUCCACAGUUUCCACAUUGUUCUUCCACCUUUGAAGCAAGCACACUUCCUGCUGGAGGUCAGUCAUUUAUGAUAGAUAAUAAUAAUAUGAUUAAAAUUUAAAAAAUGUAUGAUUGUUAUAUUUAGUAUAUAUUUUUUUAUUACAACAGGACUGCCUGUAGUUGUGAAAAUGAGACUUGGUUCAUCACAGUUGACUGAGAGGCUGAACCUGCUCAACUGUACGGACAUCAGCGGACCACCAACACCUGUCCUGUAAGUCCUCCACUGUUUUCUACUAAUCUAAGCUGACAGAAAAACACAUAAAGUCCUUAUUUUGACCAGACUGGGAGAGCUAUCAAGCAAACAAAAACUGGUUCCAUGUAGACAAAUCAUGUGGAGAGAGACCGUGGAUGUAAAAGUCUUUAAUGGAGUUUAACCAAACUUUUGAGGACUGACUGUCCAUCUGAGAAAACAUGGUUUUGAUUUCAGGGGUCUUCAACAAAUCUGUCCUAUACCUUUAACCCAGAAAGAUAUUAACCCAAACCCGACUAAGUAGUGUUGAUCCCUUAAAGCUCUGUUUUGUUUUCAGAUGCCAAACGUGUAUCAAGGCUGGAUGUGGCUGGACCAUGAACAGAUGUUCUUGGGCAAAUCAAGGCACCGGGAAUGUAAUUAUGCAUGUUUUUAUUCACUGAUAUAACAAUAACUUUCAGAUGGACUGUGCUGAAAUAGACACCCACAGAUCUCUAAUUUGUCAUAUUUUUGAUUGCUACUUAAAUGAAGACUGCAAACACAUGAGACACAAAUUAGUGUUACUUAAAGAAUCAUUUUCAAUGUAGUUUAACAGCUACUGUCACCAGCGUGAGAGGUAGAAGCAGUAGAAGAGGUGGUAGAUGGUAUCCAAAGUAGAAGUGUGUUAAAUCUACCAAUAAAAAAUAAUAGUCAAAGGUUUUAUGGAUGAAUUUAUUCAGCCAAGUCUGACCUUGGCUAGCAUAUCCUUACCAAACCUGGGUUUAACCAGCUUAGAUCAAAGUGGGAGCAAGACACAGCAGUACACUUUGUUGUUUAAGGCUGUGACACUGACAGCAGGACUGAAGACACUUUUAUAAUUUUAUGACUAUUUGUCUCUCAAGCUGCUAAACUUACUUCUCACUGCUCUUUCUGCAGGACAGUGUUUGCCAAAUGAUGAAGUCAUCAACAGACUGCCCUGUGAGUCCACCAUUUUUGCAUUCAGACCACAUUCACAUUCAGUAAAUUCAAAUAUUAGCAGAUGGUAGUGUAUAAAAUCUGAAUAAAACUGUUACCUUUUGUUGGUUUGACUGUCAGAGACCACAGAUAUCCUCCAUCACUCCCAGUGUUGUGUCUUUCCACGGCAGAAACAACGCAGUGUUGUCUGGUAGAAACCUCUGUUCUGUGAUCAGAGUGAGGAUCCAGGCAGACCUGGACUGCACACCACAAGAGUGAGUCAGUUUAUGGGUGACUGUAUGGGAUUUAUUCACACUUAAAAAUCACAUUUCAAAAGCUUCAAUGAUACAAAAAAGGCAGUCAGAUUGAGAAUUCACACAUUUUACUAUUUCAAAAUAGAUCACAGUUACUUCGGGACCUGCUUGAAACUAAAACAGUGUAUUUGCCCUUUAAAUUGAAGAUUUUCAAGCUAAUUCAUGAUUCCUCUCUAAUGUUUGAAUGAGUCUUUUAAACAGGGUUGCUAAAGAGGUGUCUUAAGAUGUUGCCUGGUUUUGAGACACAAAUGUUUGACAGUUUGCCCUGACAAAUCUGUCUUUGUUCUUAUAUUUUCUUUAAUUUUUUUGUGUUGUGAUAUUUUGUGAUCUGUUCCAACAGCUAUCAACACAUAAAAGCAGAAAAAGUUUGGUACCAGAGGGUUUCUCACAUCUAUUUUGUAGUAUAGUUUUUGGCUGCAUGGUGUUAUCUAACGGCUUAAACAGAAUCCAUUAGUAAUUUUCCUCUGAAGCUGAACCAUUGUCGGAUAAUAGAAAAUGGAUCGCAGGAUCCAAUUUCAUAGUUCCAAAUGUAAUCUCAGUUAGUUGUGUUCAGCUUUGACAUCUUGUCAGUUAAAACAGAUAUUAUAUUGUUUGUGCCAGAUAUUAGUAGUAUGCUUCUUACUUUGGUCUAUUUUUCAAAAAGUAUGUUGUAUAGAUGACAUUUGUAUAUUCUUGCAUUAAAACAGAAAUAACCUAAUAGUAUGUUGUUGUUCAUUUUACUUUGAAAGUAUCCUCUCAAACGAAUAUGAUUGUUUCCUGUAAAUUCAGACGCUUUUAUUCUGAAAAGAAAUGUGGAGACCAAGGAAUAAGAGAAACUGUAAAUUCAGUUUGAUCAACGUAAUUAAAAGAUCAUUGAAAUUUUGAUUUGAUAGAGGCACAAGGUUUGUACACAUAUUUCGUGUCUCGUGUAUACAAAAAAAAUGAUUUAAGAAUAUUUUUUUAGUUUUUGUUAAGAAGCAAUUAUGUGAGGGUGUUAAAUCUAGCAAGAAUGCUACAACCCUUAUAUUGGUUGUGUUAAAAGCAAAAAGCGUUUAUUUACAUUUGUAACCUGGAUUGAGACACACUAUCAAUUACUGUUUUUUUUUUAAAUCCCUUAAUUUUUAAGUUGAAGUGUGUAUUCUUGAGAUUGCUGAAAUUUGUAUUUAUACUAUAUGGUUGACAAUAGGCAACUUAAUAGGUAAUGUAAGUUUAUUGGCUAAAGUAGUUUGAGGAUGUUGAGGAUUGUCAAAACACAAACAUUUAAUAUAUAAAUAUUAAAUUGACUUUACUUUAAAAGAAUUUGUAGUGCUGAAAAUUACAUUUUAUCUUCUGUGAAUCUCACUGCUUCAGUUUCUCUUUGUCUCACUCUGUGCACUCUGGUUAGGUCUCCUGUUUGGAACAACACUGGUGAAACUCUGACGUUCCACAUACCCAGUGCAAAAUCUAAAGGUGUGGCCAAAGUAUGUGCUCUCCUCCCAGAUGGUAGCUGACAUGGUAACGCCUUAAUCACCUAUCGCUCAGCACCAUCCUGCACAAAAAUUACACCUGAAAGCACCUGGUUCAGGUAUGACUGUUUUAGGACUAUAGAAACCAUAAAAAUGCUAACAUAUAGACUUUGAUAAACAAGAUUACCCUUGACAUAUCAAGACAUUACUGAUGUAGUUAAAUACUACAAAAAAUCCUCACUUCUUGGAGCUCUAUUUUGCCUAACCAUCGGCUUACUGUACAUUAUUUUACUUUUUAAAUUUGGCGAAUAACCAACUUUAAAAAUACCUUUACACUAAAAAUCGAUUUCAAGAUUAUUUCAUUAAAACAUAUAUCCUUCAUUUGCUGUAAACCCCCAAUCUAAAGUUUUGUGCACUUCUUCAAAGUAAUUUUGAUAGUUAUAUUGAGGAUAUCCUUCAUGUCUACCAAUCCUUAAAUAACAUUUUACCAUUGUGAACAGGAAGAGGUGACAUCCUAAACUAUAUGUCCUGUAGCUCUUCUCCACAUACGGUGCUAUAAGAGUGCUGUGUGUAAUCUGAUUAUUUCUAGUGACACAUUCUUAUUUGAUUGCUUACUGCUCUGUGUGCCGUAGCUGGAAAAGGAAGAUCACAAUCAUUGGAUCCCACCUGGAGUUUGUGGAAGCCGUUAAACACAGUGGAGUCCUGCAGGAGGUUGGAUUUCCAGGACACAAUACCUAUCAGGUUGGUCUGUAAUAAUCAGAAAUAAUCAAAAUAUGGGAGGUUAAAAUAAUUCAACUGAUUAGUUUUCUUUAAAACGGUAGUGAACAAAAUGUGUACGAGUUAGUCUACUUGUUUUUAUUUUGUGUAAUUAUUCAGGCAUAUGUAAAGGCCUUUGCUUGAUCUUACAAAACAGUGGAAGUCAGAUAGUACAGGGUUUGACAAAUACAAUCACAGAUUAUACUGUUUUCAUUGCAUCCAAGAAGCUAUUCAUGAACAGUCGGCCCCUCCAAAUGGCUCCAAUUAUAGUCGUGCAUGAUUUCUGAUCGGUAUGUGUAUCAUGUAACAAGAUGUAAGCUCUCUAUAACGUGACACAAAAUGUUUUUGACAGGCACUCAAGAAUCUCACCUACGACUCACCUGCAGCUGAAAAUGCUCAAGGGACUUUUUCCAGCACUUUGACCCUGAAAGUAGCCAAUGAGAGCUUGACCUGUCCCACAAAAAUAACCUACUACCCAGACCCUGAGUUUACAAGCUUCACGUCUACAAAGAUAGGGGACAGUGUCCACAUCACUAUACAGGUAAUGCAAGAUUUUCCAGCACACAUGCGCAAUGAGGAGAUUAAAAUUUGAAUAUCAGCAAUUUUUUUCUGUUCUUGUUUCAGAAAAAGGCAGACAAACUCGAGAUGAGCCCUGAAGAGAUAUCAGUGUGGGGUAUUCAUGAAGGACAAAAAUACCCCUGCGAAAUGGAAGAGAAAGGAGCCAGUGGCAACACCGAGUAUUUCAUUUGUGAGAUUAAAAAUUCAAGCAUCACAGAUUUUCAAGAAUUGGAGGUAAGUUUUUAGUCGUGCCACUCCAAAUUAAACCAUGCUUUUGAUAGAUAAAAUAUACAUGUGUCUCUAAAGCUUUUACAGAAACACAGACUUCCUUUUUGAAAUCCUUUCUUAUACAGUUUGAUUGUUUCUUUGUCCCAGAUAAAGUAUGGAGACAAAACAGAAAUCCUUGAAUCUGCAUCAUGGUCUCCUCUCUUCCUGAUACUGCUUGUCUUACAACAGAUCCCAUUAAUUAUUGUUGGUAAGUACCCUUUCAUGGUUAGACGGCCUAUUUUGGUCUUACAGCAGUUUUAAAAACACUGACAAAUCUGGAAAAAACUGUGUUGUCUGCUUGGUUUUAUCUCCCAGUUGUGGGGAUCCUUUAUCUAAGCAACAAAAGAAGCUGAAUGUAAAGAUGAACAAGAUCAUGGAAAACCUGGAGCUCAACAUCAGGACAUCACCUCUCCUGUGUGCUGGCCCAUCCAGGACUGUGUCAGACUCUUCUUAUUCUCCCCCACACUGAGUCAAUUUUUUUUGCGUUGAAUGUUUUGCCUGUUGAUGCUCUUUGACGCUCAAAUUUUGCCUCCCACUAACACUCUAAAAGCUUGCAGUAACCACCUUUUUUUCUCUUUCAAAAUUUUUUCCUUUUAUCAAUGUAUCUGAUGGCAAACAAAUGCUACCUGGAGUGGCUAAAUUGUGUUAAUAUGUCAAUUGUUUGAAGUACUUGAAUGUUGUAUGUUAAUAAACAUUUUUUCGGUCAACA
rnacentral:lncRNA from 1 species